rnacentral:rRNA from 1 species
UACAGAGGUGGCGAGCGUUGUUCGGAUUUACUGGGCGUAAAGCGUGCGUAGGUGGUUUCGUAUGUCGGAUGUGAAAGCCCACGGCUCAACCGUGGAAUUGCAUCCGAAACUGCGGGACUAGAGUCCAGGAGGGGAGAGCGGAAUUCUUGGUGUAGCGGUGAAAUGCGUUGAUAUCAAGAAGAACACCGGUGGCGAAGGCGGCUCUCUGGAAUGGUACUGACACUGAGGCACGAAAGCUGGGGGAGCAAACAGG